rnacentral:rRNA from 1 species
AGUGAACGCUGGCGGUAGGCCUAACACAUGCAAGUCGAACGGCAGCACAGUAAGAGCUUGCUCUUACGGGUGGCGAGUGGCGGACGGGUGAGGAAUACAUCGGAAUCUACUUUUUCGUGGGGGAUAACGUAGGGAAACUUACGCUAAUACCGCAUACGACCUACGGGUGAAAGCAGGGGAUCUUCGGACCUUGCGCGAUUGAAUGAGCCGAUGUCGGAUUAGCUAGUUGGCGGGGCAAAGGCCCACCAAGGCGACGAUCCGUAGCUGGUCUGAGAGGAUGAUCAGCCACACUGGAACUGAGACACGGUCCAGACUCCUACGGGAGGCAGCAGUGGGGAAUAUUGGACAAUGGGCGCAAGCCUGUUCCAGCCAUACCGCGUGGGUGAAGAAGGCCUUCGGGUUGUAAAGCCCUUUUGUUGGGAAAGAAAAGCAGCAGGUUAAUACCCCGCUGUUCUGACGGUACCCAAAGAAUAAGCACCGGCUAACUUCGUG